CAGUCGCCGCGGGAAUACAGAGGGUGCAAGCGUUAAUCGGAAUUACUGGGCGUAAAGCGUGCGCAGGCGGUUAUAUAAGUCAGAUGUGAAAUCCCCGGGCUCAACCUGGGAACUGCAUUUGAGACUGUAUGGCUAGAGUGUGUUAGAGGGGGGUAGAAUUCCACGUGUAGCAGUGAAAUGCGUAGAUAUGUGGAGGAAUACCGAUGGCGAAGGCAGCCCCCUGGGAUAACACUGACGCUCAUGCACGAAAGCGUGGGGAGCAAACAGGAUUAGAUACCCCCGUAGUCCCUGUCUCUUAUAC
rnacentral:rRNA from 1 species